AGCGCAAGCGGGAAGACAAGUUGGAAGUGAAAUCCAUGGGCUCAACCCAUGAACUGCUUUCAAAACUGUUUUUCUUGAGUAGUGCAGAGGUAGGCGGAAUUCCCGGUGUAGCGGUGGAAUGCGUAGAUAUCGGGAGGAACACCAGUGGCGAAGGCGGCCUACUGGGCACCAACUGACGCUGAGGCUCGAAAGUGUGGGUAGCAAACA
rnacentral:rRNA from 1 species